rnacentral:rRNA from 1 species
UACGUAGGGUGCGAGCGUUUGUCCGGAAUUAUUGGGCGUAAAGAGCUCGUGGGCGGUGUGUCGCGUCGGCCGUGAAAACCUGGGGCUCAACUCUGGGCGUGCGGUCGAUACGGGCAUCACUUGAGUUCGGCAGGGGAGACUGGGAAGUUCCUGGUGGUAGCGGUGAAAUGCGCAGAGUAUCAGGAGGAACACCGGUGGCGGAAGGCGGGUCUCUGGGGCCGA